GUUUCCAGAGUUUUGUUCUUAAAAUCGAUGGUGCAGUAGUUAAGCAUGUGCAAAUAUAUUAGAAUAGAUUUUAAAUAGAUUUUAAAAAGCAGAUGGGAUGAGAAGCAGGUAUGUGUGUAUGUGAUUUUUAAAGACAGUGCCAAACUGUUUUCUAAAGAGACCAAUUUACACGCUCUCCAGAAGCACAGGGAGGGGCUGCCUCCGUAGCCUCGCUGGUGAAAGACGUUCUCAGACUUAGAACCUUUGCCAACAGACACAGUAAGAAUAAGUCUGUUGAUGUAAUUUUACUUUGGAGUUCUACUUUAAGUGAGUUUGAGCAUAUUUCCUAUGUUUAAAUUACAUUUCCCUUUCUAUGAAUGGUCAGUACCUUUGCCCAUUUUCCCCAUGGGAUUUUAGUGUUACUGAUUUGUAAGAGUUUUAAAAUAUGUACUGGAAGGUCAGCCCUGUGGUUAUGAAACGAGUUACAAAUAUAUUCCCUAGAUUAUAGUUUUUUUGACUUUACUUGUGGAGUUUUUCAUACAAAACUCACCUAGAUUUUGUGUGAAUUUAAAAGGUCUUUUCUACUUCCAAAUUAUAGAGUAAUCUGAGCUAUUUUUAAGGUAUCCAAUGAGAUCACCUCUGCUCGUGGCAUUCGGAGCCUAAGAGGCUGGCGGUCUACAGUUGUCCUGAUACUUCAAGGUAGAUGUCUCUGGCUCUCCUAAGAUUUUUCUUGGAGUUGUGGGUUAGAGUCAUGGUUACGGUUUUGUUUUCUUGGCAUUCCAGAAAGCAGAGGUAAGGAUCGGUGUGUAUGGGAAGGAGAAUUCUGUUGCCUGGGAAGAGGAUGGGUUUUACCAUUGUGCCCAAGAGUCUGUGAAUUUGUCUGGUUUUGUGGGAGAAAAGAACUCUUGUUAACCAGAGGAGAUGGUGUCUUUAUUGAUGACACAGGUAAUAUUUAUUUUUCUAGUCUGAUGAUUCAUUUAUUCAACUGAUUAUAUUAAUUGAGCACCUAUCUUUUAAAACUGUACAGUUGUCAGUGCUGCGGCUCUAGCAAUAAAUGCCUGCUGUGAUGUUCGCAUCCUCACGUGUUGUGUUUGCACUGCAGUUAGAGUGAGAAAUGGGCAGGUUCACGCUGGUGAGGGACCCUGCGAAGGAGCAUGACAGCGAGUGGGCCAGGGGACUGGACGGGAGGCUGCUCACAGCUCACUGGGGAGCUAAGGAAGACGUCUCUGAAGAGAGCCUGGACUGAGCCAGUGCCGCUGAUGCAGACAGGAGAGAGGAUGGGGCUGGGUGGGCAUUUAGAGCAGGGGGGGUGCAGAGAGAGAGAGAGAGAGCGAGAGACAGAGGCAGAAGGACAGAGGGAGAGGGAGAGAGAGAGAGAGAGAGAGGAGGACGGAGAGCCCUGGAGAGCUUUUGGAGGUGCUGGCAGUUUGGAUUUGAGUUGGAAGCAGAGAAGCCCUUGAGAAUAUAAAGGAGGAGCAAAGUGAUCUGCCUCAGGCUGGAAGAGACCACACUGCUACGUUAUCACACUGGGUCAGACAUGAGGAGGCAAGGUGCUCUCGGCAGAAGCCUCUGCACGCAGCCCCGACGCCUCUUCUCAUCCUUCCUCGCCAGCCCUGGUGCCAGCGCCCUCUGUCCACAUGGACCCGGGGCUCUUCAUUCCAUCCUCCUGUGCUCUUCUAGAAUUUCCCUCAGUCUGCAGCCUGUGUAGUUUUACACUCUUAGUUCUUGAAACUUCUCAUCUCAAGGACCUUUGCUCCCCACGACCUGGCUGCACCUUGCCCACCUAUCCCGCUGUCCCCUCCAUGUCUCUGAGGGCUCUCAGGACAGCACUUCUCAUCCAGAGCCGUCUGCAGCUGACCCUCGGACCCAUCAGCUCCCCUGUGAGAACCGCACGGGUCUGUAACUCACUGUGUAGAUGACGAAACUGACCCAAGGAGGUACUAGAACAGUGGGCUGGGUCAGGGCCAGGCAGGACUGUGGGGUACAUGACAGUCAGGACUGUUGUCUACGCAUCUUCUUCCCAGCUGAGUUGUCUCGGGCAGCUCCUUUGGGAAGCCGUCCUAUGCAGAGUUAUUCUUCCUUCUCUUCCCUCGUCCUUUUGGCAGGAUUCUGCCUUUCCUCCACUGUCCUAAAUGCUAAAGAGAAGCCCAGCCUAAAUGGUUAAGAUGUAACCUGCUAAGUCUCUCUCUAAAGUACAGAACCCCACCAUCCGGGGACCUUUGGAAUGCCUCUUCCUGGCUGCUCUUCUAUGCAUCAGCUACUAGGAAGCACAUGCAUGGAUGUGAGGUUGAGCUUGCAGAGAAGUAACGUGUCUGUUUCAGAACAACAACAGGAGCCAGCUCCAGGAGGCCGAGGCUGGCGGAUGCGCUGGAGGAGGAGAAAGGAGACACAUGCAUGGCUGGUGAAGAUGCUCUGGUCCGCUCUGUCAUAGCCCUGCCACACUGCUGCCAGAGUGGAGCUGAGGUGGAGCCCGCCAUCCUCCAGGGUGCUGGCCCUCGAAUAAACCGAGUCUUCCUACCCACUCUCGGCUCCCACAUACUGGCCUUCCAUUGACAGGUUGGUGCCACUGACAUGAACCUUGAUGCUUUGAGCCCAGGGUCCUUGCACAUGCCAUCCGGUCUACCCCUUUGUCCCCUGGGAAACCCAUCUUCGCUUCCUUAAAGACAAGACGCAGAUGCCACCAUCUUUGAAUCUUCAGUGCUUCCCACCUGAAUCCAAGUUCUACCGUCAGUAAAUCCAUUUUCUGCUUCCUCAUGAUGCUUUCUGAGUUACCUUCCGACCUCUAGUUACCUACUGACAAGUCAGUCUCUUUCCUGUGUGUGAUUUUAUGUGCAUCAUGGCGUUAAACUUUGGAGCUGAGUGGUGAACGACAAGGAGAACCAGGAAACUGACGCUGACAGAAACCAGGGGAUCAGCACAAGCCUUCUCGGCUAAAACGGGGCACAGUCGGGACUGAAAUCCACCCUCCCUUUCUUCAGUGUGCUGCAGCUGAUUUUCCUCUCAAGAACCUCAGUAUCUCCAAAAACCCUGUCACCUUCAAGGAUGUUUAAGAACAGAGAUUUUAAAAAAUGAUGUUAUGUUGACUGUAGCAUGCAUUACUCAGGUGAUCUAGGUCAGGGUCUGGUGUCCUCAGGGUCUGUGUGGUUUUGCUUUUUAAACUGCACUGGCACCCACUGGGCCUCUCUUCGGUGGCCGGUAACCAGUUGGUGUCAUCCUCCUGGAAAUCCACUGGUGCCCCAACUUCAAUUGCAGCUUCCGUGAAAGCCUGCGACAGACUAGCACUUCCCCUGAGCACCAGCCUCGCGAAGCAUAUCAUUAAGGGUGUCUUCAUCCUUCCAACUGCUUCAGGCUUUCCCCGAAAUAACAGCCCUCUCCCUAGAGGUUCUGCAGUCACCUCUCAAGGAGAAUUGAAGCCUGCAUCAGUCUUGAAUUUCAGAAGACCAUGAAAGGCAUGGAAUGUCAACACUUGUGCCAAAGACAGGGAAAAUGCGGCUCCUCCAUGCCAGCGGACGGGCUCACUGCUAUAGGGAGAGAGGACUGAGAGGAGGAAAAUUGAGCAAGCAGCAACACAAGCAGCUGGAGAUAGGGAACAGUGAGCAGGUGAUGAGCAGCAGAAAAGGAAAAAUGAAGCAUUUCCGUGAAAACCCAUUAUUACUGAGAAGCAAUUUUUAAUAUGGCUAAAAGCCUGUUUAACAAUAAGAAGAGGCCUUAGCAUUGCUAAAAAUAAAACAAAAGGACAUUUUGAAUGCUAAAUAUAGACAACGGAAUCACGAAGAGGAUGUAAGAUGCUUCUUAAACUUGAAGAUGAUAAAUGAAACUUAACUUUUACAGUUGAGGAUUAUCUGCAACAUAGAUUUUACAGGAAAUGUUGGGAUACUGGUGGUAGAAGAUGAAUACAUACUAAAAUGUCGAUCUCUGAGGAGCAGUACUUGUAGAAAACAAACACCUCUGGAAUGCCUCCUAGUGGUUGUGUCUCCAUCUGACAGAUUGAUGCUUGUGAAAGAUAGCGAGGUUAGUGACUAUUAAACACCAUGGAUGAAAAUGUUUGACAUAGCAAGCCAGGUGUGGUGGUGCAGGGCUGUAAUCCUAGCACUCUGGGAGGCUGAGGCAGGAGGACUGAAAGUUGGAGCCCGGCCUGGGCAAUUUAACAACUUAGUCUCUGUCUCAAAAUAAAAAACGAAACAAAACAGAGGGCUGGGGUAUAGCUGGGUGAGAAGGCCAUGGGUUUAAUCCCGAGCAACAUGGGAUGGGUUAAGAAAGACAAGAAAAUGAUUGUUAUGUCAAGUAGGUACAUUAGCAGCAAGCUUUUGGAGUCGUUUUGAAUACAGCAGAGUGUCACUGAAUACAAGUCACCCCAGAUCUGAGGACCUAGCAAGAGAACUGUGAUCUCCUAAGUUUCUGAGACGAGCGGGAGCGGCUUUGGCAGCGCGGAGUCGCGGAGCUGCGGUCUGGUCCAGCUGUGUCAGGCUCCAUCCUCUGAAGGUGCGGCCCGCACUGCACAGGCUGACCGUGGGCGGGGCUCCUUCUCUGGCCCCCAGGCUUCUCCAGGUGCGGUGGGGAAGUUUCAGUGGCCCCGGGUGGGUGGGUUGCGGAGAGAGAAGAGCAGGUGUCAGCUGUGAGUGCACCUUGGAGGGCAUGGCCUUCCUGGGCCAGGCCUGUCUAUCAGCUGGGUCUGCAGGACGGAGACCACAGGGUGGCCAGGCCCUUUGCAGUGACUUAGUUCCUCAUGGUUCUGGAGACCAGAAGUCCCAGAUCAAGGAAACCUCAAAAUACAGAUGUUGCUCCUUCAGCGACCAGACUGCUGAACAGCUGCUCAGACUUAGGACCGGCACUGGGGCUGCCCCGAAGGAAGGUGAGCGCAGAGUGGCUCCAACAGCCUGGACUGUGACCUUGCUGAUGGUGCUGGCCAGCACAGUGCAGGACCUCCACAUUCUGUUACACGUCACAGGACUUCAUGUAGCCAUGGAUGUCAGAGCAGCAUCAUCACGUUGGAGCUUCCUUUGAGCGUUUCUUUGUUCUGAAUAUUGUAAUGUACAUGCUGUGUACAACUUGGCAUUUAGCAACCAAUUCACUUAAGGACCCAGGCACAGGAACUUGGUCGUUAACCGAGGCAUGUCUGUGCUGACGCUUGUGCCUGAUUUAUUUCACUUAACGUGUUCCCAGAGUUCAUCCGUUUUCCUACAAAUGACGAGUUUAUCCUUCUUUAUGGCACAGCAGUGCUCCACUGUGUGUAAAUACCACGUUUUCUUUAUCCACUCAUCUGCUGAUGAACAUAAAGGCUGCUUCCCAGAUUUAGCUAUUAUGAGCUGUGCCGCUAUUGAGAAGCAGAAAAUAACACAGAAUAGCACAGUGAGCACCCAUUACCAACUUAGCAGCUUUAAUGGAGCUUCAGCUCUUUGCAACAGUGGCUUUGGACUUCUUUUUCAGAAGUUAAGAAUUCCUAUUACAUCCGAAGACCACCAUGUGCCGUCCCCUGCCCCAUCUCCCUUUCUUGUUCGCCAGUGGGCACGUAUCAUUGGAAUUAGUUUAUUAUUCACUAACAAUAUAUUCAGUUAUUAUUGCUAUAUAAAUGACAUGUUCGCAAUGUUUAUAUAAAUUAUCUAAUUGUGAACUAUGUGAUUUUGUCUUAUUCAUUUAUUAUGUUAUGCACAUUGUUGUGUUAUUUGUCGACAUGUUUGAGAGUCAUCCCUGGCUGCACAUUUAUUUCUAACUAGCUGAGCUGUGUGGUGGUCUCUGUUCAGUCCUCCGUUCCCCUGUGAGUGGAUAUUUGCUUACUUGGUUUUUCACUGUUGUAGCCAGUGGCUUGCUUUCUGUACUCAGCUCUGUAAUUUUGAGAUUUAUCCACAACGCUGGCCGUGCAUCUCUUUUGUCUACGACAAAGGACAUUCCUAGGUGCUUACAGCUUGCACAGCAUGACUGUUGCACAGUUCUACACAGUGCUGCUGGGGGUCCCUCGAAAUCUCCCUGAGUGUGGGGAGUUUCGUGUGCCUGGAAGUGGAGCUGCCAUGAACCAAGCGCACACACCCUGCCCACUCUGUUGGGCACUGCCGGAUGGCUCCGUAAGGUGGCGGCAGCUCUGUUUAUGUGUUUAUGACGGGAAUGGGCCGAGUCAGACUCGAGUUUUGCUGGUCCAGUGGAUGCAAAGUGGGGUCUCAUUAACAUCAUUAUCAUAAUGUUAAUACUAUAAUUUGUCUUUACCUCAGUAUUAAUGAGGUAGAGCAUCUUUUCAUAUUUAUUGGUGAUGCUGGCUUCCUUUUCUGUGAACUCCUUAUUGUAUCCUUUACUUCUUCCCUCCCUCCCUCCCUUCCAAGAAAAAGCUGUAAUUACAAAGUAAGAGGAAAUGGUCAGGGCUUUGCCUUGAGGAGCAGAUGGAGCUGUGGCCAGCUGCCCUUAACACAGGAGAGGGAGUAAGAAGAGGAACCAGC